rnacentral:lncRNA from 1 species
CACAUCCCAUCCGCAUGGGUCGCGGUGCUGGUCCUACGCACACACCUUGUCAUGCGCAGGUAGGCCAAUCCGCUCAUGUCACAUCGCACAUGAACAGAGCCAGGUGCUACGCAUUGUGUGUGCACCAUCAGCGCAGUAGGCUUACAUCGAUAGACUUGUGCGCCUGGGGCCUAUGCGCAGCGCCCUGUGCAUUGCAGGUCUUGUGCAUGUGCAGGCUAGAUCAUGUGUGUGGUAGGGU